rnacentral:rRNA from 1 species
ACUCAAAUGAAUUGACGGGGGCCCGCACAAGCAGCGGAGCGUGUGGUUUAAUUCGAUGCUACGCGAAGAACCUUACCUGGGCUUGACAUGCAAGUGGUAACGACUGGAAACAGAAGUGACCCGCAAGGGAGCUUGCACCGGUGCUGCAUGGUUGUCGUCAGCUCGUGUCGUGAGAUGUUGGGUUAAGUCCCGCAACGAGCGCAACCCCUGGAGUCAGUUGCACGUACCUGGCUCGACUGCCGCCACAAAGCGGAGGAAGGUGGGGAUGACGUCAAAUCAGCAUGGCCUGUAUGUCCAGGGCGACACACACGCUACAAUGGUCGGUACAAUGCGUUGCUCGUUCGCGAGAACAUGCUAAUCGUCAAAGCCGAUCUCAGUUCGGAUUGGAGUCUGCAACUCGACUCCAUGAAGGCGGAGUUGCUAGUAACCGCGCGUCAGCCAUAGUGCGGUGAAUGCGUUCCCGGGCCUUGCACACACCGCCCGU